rnacentral:rRNA from 1 species
GACGAACGCUGGCGGCGCGCCUAACACAUGCAAGUCGAACGGAAAGGCCCUGCUUUUGUUUGGUGCUCGAGUGGCGAACGGGUGAGUAACACGUGAGUAACCUGCCCUUGACUUGGGGAUAACUUCAGGAAACUGGGGCUAAUACCGGAUAGGAGCUCCGCCUGCAUGGUGGGGGGUGGAAAGUUUGGGCUGCUGGGGUUGGUCUCGCGGCUUGUCAGCUUGUAGGUGGGGUAGUGGCUUACCAAGGCUUUGACGGGUAGCCGGCCUGGGAGGGUGACCGGCAACAUUGGGAUUGGGAUGCGGCACAGACUCCACUGGGAGGCGACAGUGCAGAAGAGUGCACAGUGGGCGGGAGCCUAAUGCAGCGACGCCGCGUGGGGGAUAACGACAAUGGGGUUGGAAACCGCUUUCGCGUUGGACGAGGCGUGAGUGACGGUAAUGGGUAAAGAAGCAACGGCUAACUACGUG